UCCCUGGCGGUCCAGUGGUUAGGACUCCAUGCUUCCGGUGCUGUGGGCCCGGGUUCGAUCCCCGGUUGGGGAA